rnacentral:snoRNA from 1 species
AGGUAGCAUUUAAAAGAGAUGCGUAUCUGAUACAAUCUUCCUAGAGUGAAGUUGUUACUUCCUGCUUGUGGUAUUGUUAGCAAGUUCUGCAAGUCUCUAAAUGACAAGACAGUGCC